rnacentral:lncRNA from 1 species
AUGGACACGUUUUGCUCCACACUCCUGCUGCUGACCACCCCUUCCUGGGUCUUGUCCUAGGUCACCUUGAAGGAGUCUGGUCCUGUGCUGGUGAAACCCACAGAGACCCUCACGCUGACCUGCACUCUCUCUGGGUUCUCACUCAGCACUUCUGGAAUGGGUAUGAGCUGGAUCCGUCAGCCCCCAGGGAAGGCCCUGGAGUGGCUUGCUCACAUUUUUUCGAAUGACUAAAAAUCCUACAGCACGUCUCUGAAGAACAGGCUCAUCAUCUCCAAGGACACCUCCAAAAGCCAGGUGGUCCUUACCAUGACCAACAUGGACCCUGUGGACACAGCCACGUAUUACUGUGCA